UGUCAAAUAAAAACGCACUUUUUACCAAAACACACAUUUAGCGCACUUAAAAGUGCGUUAAUUGUGUGUUUUUUGUUAAUAUGUGCGUUUUCAGUGAUCAAAAGUGCAUUUAAGUGCGCUUUUUGUGCGUUUUUGCUUUUCAAGUGCGUUAUUUUAGUGAAAAAGUGCGUUUUUUGUGUGUUUUCUUCAUCUGUAAGUGCGCUUUUGAGUGUAGAUGUGAGCAAAAUGUGUGUUUUUUAUCUAAGAAGUGCGUCUUUUAUUUAGGAAGUGCGUUUUUUGUGUGUUUUCUUCAUCUGUAAGUGCGCUUUUGAGUGUAGAUGUGAGCAAAAUGUGUGUUUUUUAUCUAAGAAGUGCGUCUUUUAUUUAGGAAGUGCGUCUUUUAUCUAAGAAGUGUGUUUUAAGGUUUACAGAUGUGGGUUUUUUCUCACAAAAGUGCGUUUUUCUAUUUUGAUGUGCGUCUUUUUUAAGCAUAAGUUAGUCUUUUAUUUCAUAAGUGCGUUUUUAUCAUAUGAUCUGUUUUAAAAGGAUGUAUCUAAAAAGACACAUGUUUAACACACUUCUUAAAAAGUGUGUCUUUAACAACCGUUUAGCAAAUGUUGUACAGAAAUUGAACAAGAAACAAAAUUGUUGCAGGCUCUAACAAUUUAUUUACAUCAAAUGAUUAAACAUAGACAUAUAUCUCAGUAACCUGUAAUAAUAUAAGGGGCAGUUUGAAUAAUUACUGGUUGUCCAUAUUAACCUGUUUAAUGUUUACAUACUUUAUCAUACAAUUUCAAUGCAUACCCUAUUGCUUACGUUUUAAUCUCAAACAUUUCUAAAAAUUUCCACCUAAAUCAGACUGUGUGUAACUAAUUAAAAAUAUUGAAAGUGUCAAAAGUAUUAUGUGGGCUUGAUAGUAUCAAUUAUAUUUCCUCAACAUAAAUAAGUAUUUGAACUUUCUUAUACUGAUAUUUAUACCCUAAUACAAUUAAUGUCUACCACAUUGACCAUAAACAUACAUUUUAAAAGGCAAUUAAAAUAAUAUUUAUACUAUUUAUAUUAUUUGCUAAAACCAUUCAGCAUGUUAUAUUUAAAUAUUUACAAUUAAAUAUAAUGUGUUAAGGGUGCUGUGUAUUAUUCAAUAAAUAUUUUGGUGUUGAAAUGACUGCCUUAUCAGUAUUUCUCAAAUUAUGCAAUUUUUGGCUUAGACACAGCAUGGUAUCAGAUAAGAGAAUAGCCAGUCCCUAUCAGUCCUCCAUCUAAGCCUAACUAAGGGGUGUUGAUAUACUUUUGAUUUGUUCAGGCACCAUCUAUUUGAGAACCACAGAUAGGAAGUUAUUUUUUGAAAACAAGCAGCAUCAGCAACUGACUUUAAGCUAGAAUUAAGACUUAUUAUUUUAGUGUAAAAUGUCUUGAAAUACUUUCAGCAUGAAGUAUUGUGUGAUGAAAAAAAUGUGUAUUUACUACAAUGUGUAAAUCAACAAUAAAGGAGAUUAAAAGUGGGUGGUUAAAGACAUAUAAAGUGAUAUGGUCUAGUUCAACAACUGCCUGUAUUUUUGGAAUACUGAAGAACAGUCUGUUGUAACAGGUUAAACCCCAUGGAAAGAAUGUGCAUCAUCGCAUCGCCUGCCAAAAAAGGGAGCAAAAAAGAGACUACCUGAUGUAUGGACUUGAAUACCAGGUUUUACCCUGCACAAGCUGGCCGACAUGAGGAGAACAGGAGUGGGAAAACCGCGCCCUCUCCUUGACCAAGAAAAGCUGGAUUUGUUUAGAGGACCUGAUCAAAUGAGAUCAUGCACGAGACGCAUCGCGCAAAGGCCAUGACAGUAUAAUUGUUGCAAAGAAGUUUGACCGGCUAGUGGCAGACUUGGAGAGAAAGA